AACCACGACCACAUGUUCUUCU
rnacentral:miRNA from 1 species